UCUCUGACCGCAAACUCUUCCGUGGCUCCUCUGAAAGUUAUCUCCCCACUCUUCUUUCUUUCUGCGUUUAUCUCAAUUGACUUUCCAGCCCUUUUGUUCGCUCUCCUUAUCACUUGGAAAAGGUGAACCCUCGUGUUAUUUUUUUUUAUUUUAAUCUUUGCUCUAAUUGUAGUUUUUACCCUUGUGGUCCCUGAUGGCUUCGCACAGUGAUACUCUGGUGGUGUUCUUUGGGGCAACAGCUGGUGCAAAUGGGGGUAAACUGGGUUCGGAUGAGAGGGAAAUAAUUCUCUUGGUGUGGCAAAUUGUGGAUCUACAUGAGAAAAAGGUUGGGAAGCUUCAUAAAUGUUUUGUCAAGCCAGACACUUUGGAGCUGACAGAUCAGUGUAAAGAAGAGACUGGGUUGACGUUGGAGGACGUCGUUGAUGCUGAGCCUCUGGACAAAGUUCUGGAACAGAUUCAGCAGUCUGUGUCAUCAGAAGUAAAAUGCCUCAGCAGAAGUUCGUACACACUCUUGGUGAACGGUCCUCUAAUAAUUCGACAGGCCCUCCACCCAGAAGCCUCCAAAAAGAAUCUUGUACUACCGGAGUGUUUCUUUUCAUUUGUGGACCUGCGGAAAGAGUUUCUCAAAUGCUGCCCGAAUGCCAGCUCUUUGCAGAAGCUCUCACUCUCCUCCAUGUUGGAUUAUGUUGGUCUCCCUGCGGUGUCAGAGCAGAUGAUAGGUGUGAGGGAGGUGAACAGCAUGGUGCAGCUGACGCUCUGCAUCCUGGAUGAGCCAUACAAUCACAAAUUCUACUGUGCUGAAACUGUGAAUUCCAAGUUUGAAUCUGGCACAUGCAGUAAGACCGAGCCGGUGGACAGCGAGACGGUGAUCAGAGCAAGGGGCCUUCCAUGGCAGUCCUCAGACCAGGAUAUUGCUCGUUUCUUUAAGGGACUCAAUAUUGCCAAGGGCGGCGUGGCCCUCUGUCUGAACGCUCAGGGCCGGAGGAACGGGGAAGCCUUGGUUCGGUUCAUCAACGCAGAGCACAGAGACCUGGCUCUGGAGCGACACAAACAUCACAUGGGCAGCAGAUAUAUUGAAGUCUACAAAGCGACAGGAGAAGAAUUUCUCAAGAUUGCUGGAGGGACGUCCAAUGAGGUGGCUCAGUUCCUAUCUAAAGAGAACCAGGUGAUCAUACGAAUGCGCGGGUUACCGUUCACGGCGACGACCCAGGAAGUGUUGUCCUUCCUCGGUCCUGAGAGUCCCGUCACGGACGGCUCAGAGGGGCUCCUCUUCGUCAAAUACCCCGACGGACGGCCUACUGGUGAUGCCUUUGUGCUUUUCUCCUGUGAGGAAUACGCUCAGAACGCUCUGAAGAAGCACAAACAGAUUCUGGGGAAGCGGUAUAUCGAGUUGUUUCGGAGCACUGCAGCCGAGGUUCAACAGGUUCUGAAUCGUUACAUGUCCACACCUCUGAUCUCCGCUCUGCCUCCAUCGCCCAUUGUACCACUUCCAGUCCUCUCCACGCCUCCCUUCCUGCCGACGGCUAGCAGCACGCGCGACUGCGUGCGGCUCCGCGGGCUGCCGUACACCGCCGGCAUCGAGGACAUCCUGGAGUUCAUGGGCGACCAUACGAUCGACAUCAAGACUCAUGGAGUCCACAUGGUCCUUAACCAGCAGGGCCGACCCUCUGGCGAUGCCUUCAUCCAAAUGAAGUCACCUGACAAGGCAUUCUUGGUGGCCCAAAAGUGCCACAAAAAGACAAUGAAGGACCGGUAUGUUGAGGUCUUCCAGUGCUCCACAGAGGAGAUGAGCAUUGUUCUGAUGGGAGGAACCCUGAACCGCAGCGGCCUCUCUCCUCCACCCUGCAAACUUCCCUGUCUGUCGCCUCCUACAGCUUAUGCUGCCUUCCCCACUCCGCCUGCCAUCCUCUCUGAAGCGGCCCUGUACCAGCCCCCCCUGCUGGCGGCCCCCAGGGGCCCUCAGACCACCAUCCACAGUCCUGCUCACGCUCUGGCCUACUACCCCCCGCAGCCGCAUCUCUAUAUGAACAUGAACAUGAACUAUACUGCUUAUUACCCCAGUCCCCCGGUUUCUCCCUCCACCGUCAGCUACUUUGCGGCUCCACCGGGCGCCAUGGCGGCUGCGGUGGCGGCUCAGGCCCACUCCGUUGCGACUCCGGCCCACCCGGCUGCGGCCGCUGCCUCCUCCGUCCUGCCGCAGCCGGGCGCCCUGGUCAGGAUGCAGGGUCUGCCGUACAACACCGGAGUCAAAGACAUCCUCAGCUUCUUCCAGGGAUAUCAGGCUGAAUUAGGUGGAGUCCGCUGAUGCAGGUAUGAAUCAUGACAGGUGUGUUCACGUAGGAAAGCGGUGGGUUUGAGGUAGGGGGCAGGUUCUGGUGCUGCUGUUUUUUUUAUUGGGGCAGAUAUCUUGGCUCUGUUGCUGGUCUUUCUUUCGUUCAUUCACACCAACAAGAAAGCAGUUUUUAGUUGCAUUUGGAGAAAUGUAGGUACGCUUUGUGUGUGUUUUUUAUUUUUUUUCUUUGAAAGCUGAUGGUCACUGUUUAAUGAAUUUUGUUGUUUUCUAGAUUCUGUAGGUGAUAUGUGUGUUUUCUAGCUCCAUUAUGAUUUCUCACACACAGGUCCUGAGAAAGAAAACUGUCUCUUUGUAGAGAUCCUCAAACUUUCAAUACUGUCAUCUGUUUUUAAAUGUGACCAGUAUUUGGUGAAUUUCUCUUUUGUUUCAGUGUGGUUUUAUUUUGAAUUGUUUUUUUUUGUUGUUGUUGUUUUCUUGGUCAUCUUUCUACACAUCUGUACCUUUUGUGUGAGGGUAAAAAAAUGUGCAUUGUGAUGUCUAACCCAAUGUUGAGGCCACUCCACCCUGACUGUGUGUUCAUCGUUGUACUGUAUCUGUAGUACGGCCCUGACGAGUACAGCGGCUUGGUUCAGAUGAACGAACAGGCCCGGAGUCUGAUUCAGCCCAAAGAAUGGCUCUGCCUUUAGGGCUCACACCAAGCUCCAGCCAGACGCCGUGCUUAUCUUGUAUAACUUCAGCGGUCAGUGCAGCGGCGAGGCCUUGAUCACCUUCCCCAACGAGGACGUCGCCCGGCGCGCCGUAGCCGAGCGCUCGGACCAUCCUUUCUACGGCCAGCCGAUCCACUUGGUUUUCUGUAACUGACCACCAGCUCUCCCACUUUCCUCCCCUUUCCAAUAGAAACGCCUCCAAACUCUUUACAGAGAACCUGUGGAAGUCUUCCCUCUCUGUACGAUCUGUACUUUGACUACACACCUCUCCGCUGGUCCUCACACUCCUGAAGCUGCUGCUGGAGCCGGGCCUUCCACAGACGAAGCAGCCUGACGCUGGACUUUGUGACUUUGCUGGUGGGGAAGGAAUAGUGUGAAGCCUGGGCAGAGCAUGCAGACACUCUGCAAAGCCAAAGUUGGAGAUCAACUUAUCGUCCUUGCAACUGUACAGACCUGUCUCCUGAAAUGCUUGAGGCAUAUAUGCAUUUAUACACGUUUGUCUUUAUAUUUCUGAACUGCAACGCUUUAACCACUUACACAUUUAGAGUUUUGUGUUUAUGAACAUUUUUGUUAGCUGCAAAAAGAAAUGUUUGGAGGCUAAAUAUUCUCCAGCAGUUUAGUUAUGACAAUAAAAAUGUCUAAGCCAUAAGGACUACUUUAUACUUCUCAGUCAAUCAGUAUCCUAAAACUGUCAUGAUUUAAAUGUAGCUAGUAAGCGACUUUAAGCUUCAGGGAAUAUUAGUUUAUACUACUGUGUAGCACAUCUGUGUCAGUGUAUGAAUUAACCUGUGACUUUUUUUAAGGCAUUUUUUGUGUGACCACCAGCAUGUCUAAACCUUUAAGUAUUUUCUAAGCACAACAGAUGCUUUGGUUUGCUCCACUCACAGAGACGCUACGCUGCACAUCUUUAACAGUUUGACAGUAAAUUAAUUCUACUUUCAUUCAUACUUAUCUACAAAAGCUAAAACUUUAUUAUUUGUAAAUUGACUUGGUUUUUUUUUCCUGCAGUCUUGUAUAUUGAUUGACCCGUUGCAGCCGCUGCUUUGGUUUUUGUUUUCAGACUAAAACAACCAGCCUGCACUACGAUUCAGUUCCUGUGAACAACCAGAGCCGUGUAAAACUGCAAGAGCCCUUUUUUUUUCUUCCUUCCUGUGAGAGGCCUACUGAAUUGUCUUAGUUUUUGUUUUUUCUUUACGAAGCCUACAUUACCCAGAGUGCAAUACUGGCCCACAGGAGGCAUAGGAGCCUCUGGUGGCAGAUGAGAUAUUUGUUUUGUUGCGACCUAAGGAUGCAUGAAUUUAGGUCUAUGUAUAAAAUGUAAACAAUAAAAAUAUUGACAAAUA